ACUUAUCAAGAAAUUGCAGAAGACAAACAGCUACAUUUAGUCGAGUUUCGGGAAGAAAAUCUAAAUUUCCCCAAGGUAGUUGCUUCUCCACAGACUGAGGAUGUCAGGACAGUUGCCCAAAUACCAAAAGAUGAAGAAUUAAACUUUGAUUUGUACAUAAUGGGUGGAAAAAUGGAACUGAAGAAAAAGAAAUAUCCCCCUUUUUACACAAGAUUGUAUGGAUGGGAAAUUCACAAGAAGAAAUAUGCUAAGUACAGGAAUCAGGAAAAGGUCAGAGAGCAAUUAAUUCUGGAAUAUGGCGAUAUUCGUAGUUUUUAUGCAGACAGUACCCGGAGUGCAG